rnacentral:rRNA from 1 species
UACAGAGGGGGCAAGCGUUAUUCGGAAUUAUUGGGCGUAAAGGGCGCGUAGGCGGCUUUUCAAGUGACGGGUGAAAUCCCUCGGCUUAACCGAGGAACUGCCUGUCAGACUGGAAGGCUUGAGACCGGGAGAGGUGAGUGGAAUUCCCAGUGUAGCGGUGAAAUGCGUAGAUAUUGGGAGGAACACCAGUGGCGAAGGCGGCUCACUGGACCGGAACUGACGCUGAGGCGCGAAAGCGUCGGGAGCAAACAGG